CAGCCGUAAACAAUGUGCGUUAGGUGUGUCGGUAACCACGUGUUACUGAUGCGCCGAAGAGAAAUCGUGAAACGCACCACCUGGGAAGUACGGUCGCAAGGCUGAAACUUAAAGGAAUUGGCGGGGGAGCACCACAACAGGUGGAGCCUGCGGUUUAAUUGGACUCAACGCCGGGAAGCUCACCGGAUAGGACAGCAGAAUGAUUGCCGGGCUGAAGACCCUGCAUGACUAGCUGAGAGGAGGUGCAUGGCGUAGACGUGU
rnacentral:rRNA from 1 species